AUACCAUGAUGAGGACAUCUUCUAAGCAAUUCUUUGAAUCUUUCCCAAGCCUCGUACAAACUCUCAUCUUCAAGUUGAUGGAAUGAAAUAAUCUCAUUACGCAACUU
rfam:Citrus sinensis cultivar Ridge Pineapple sweet orange scaffold00368_contig_12, whole genome shotgun sequence.